UGGCCCUUGGUGUAAUCGGUAGCACGAGUGGUUCUGGUCCACUUAGUCGGGGUUCGAGUCCCUGAGGGCCAG
rnacentral:tRNA from 1 species